GCAAAAGGAGUUGCAGGACCCACAACAUCCAGAUGAAGGGGUGACAGCAGGGCUGUGGCCAUAAUGACACUUCAUCCUAGGGCAGGGCAGUGAGCUGUGAAGUUCCUAGAGUGACCGUCAUCACCAUUAUCAUUUGAUCCUGUUGGCUGGGGGCAGCUGGUCUCCUUCCAAAACAGCUGCACCCAAGAGUCUCUGACUCCACCUGAAAGAAUGACGCUGGCUUAGUAGGACUCUCCAUUGCUACCAAACUCCUCCUGCACGGUCUUGGGUGCACCCACCAGAGGGUACUAUUAUUAUGGAAAAUUUUGCCUCCAAUCAUUAGGGUGUCUUGAUGGUGUUAACUGAUCUUUCCAUAAAAAUAGAUUCAAUCAUACACACAUACACACACUAACACCAGUCCUCUGUCAAAAAAGCUUAGGUGACUUUUUUUGAUGCAAAGCUCUGAUUCCCGCAGGAAUAUAAAAACAAAGAAAGAGAGAAAUAUCCCUCGAGAAAAAAAAAAUAGUAUUGCUUAGAAAAGAAUUCAUAAACCAUUUUCUCAUUUGGAAAUCCACACCACGUGUGAAAAUCCUAUCCAAUGGACAGCAAACCCAAAUGUUGUUUACACAUGUGUUAGCAUUGAUGGAAUGGUUCAUUUUCUACACAUUUCAGGAUUUGUUUUAUAUUUUAAAUUUUCUGUUGUGAACAUCCUUUUUGACAGAAAUCCUAUGCAGCCCAUGUAUGGCUUUCGACAAGACCAAGGAGCUCAAUAACUUUAUGAUGUAAAUUAAAUAGUAAUCAUGAUUCAGUAUUCAAUUGCAAAAAUGUCAUAGGUACACAAAGAGGAAGUGGGGAAAAAGGCAAAAUGAGAGUCUGAUUCCCAGUCAUGUGCAGCGCCUAUUGGGACAUAACGGCAGUGCUGCACGAACCAGAGGAAUGGGCUGCAACCGGAUCUGUUUCCAGACGCAGAAUGAGUGGCUCUGUGUGACAAUAGGCAGACGCCGACUCUGGAAGAGGCCGUGCCACUCCUUUCUAGUGCCAAACACCAUCCAACCACAGGACUGACGUGGAAGCCCCGAACAACUGAGAAUGAUCGGCAUGAGCCCCCUAAAAGCAGGCAAGAGAACGAGCAGUCAAGUUCUCCACUGUGUACAGACUUUUGCUCCCCGCAAUCCAAGGUCAAAGUGAUAUGUCUUUUAGAGGCUUUGGGACACUUUUUAGUAAGUAUGAGCAGACAGAUGCAAUGAAUAUGCUAUGAAAAAACCCUUCUGAACUGAUAGAGGGCUUAUCACUAUAUCCAGCUAAGAUUUGUAUUUGAAUCAUCUGUAAAGUCGCACUCUUACAACAAGCUUCUGGGUUUUAAAUACCUCCGUACAGCAAGUAAACGUUCCCCGCUUUCUGUUCUCAGUGUCCUUGGUCAUGGUGCUUUUCGUUGCAUUAAAAGUGCCGGUCAAACUUUGAUAGUAUUUUUUUAUAGUUGGUGCAGAGUGGAAUAACUCAUGGAUUAUUUCAAUAUUUUUGUAAUAAAAAAUAUAGGGUAUACACAUAGGCAUCAUCACUUUUUUUAUAGACCUGGAAUCGUUUAAAACACUUUAAGCGUCAUAAUUACUUGGGAUGUCAGAAACUGGUCCACAAAUUCCAUCAGCCUGCCUCAGCAGAUUGAAAACAUUUGUCUCUUGCAAGAUCACCCUACUUUGCAAGUUGGUGCCCCCAGGAACCUGGCCAGGGGUGCUAUCAGAAUAUCAGGUGAAGAGAGAAUCAGCUUAAAUAGAAAGGGCUUGUCAAGACUGGCCAAUGUUUCCCAGGAAAUCAAAGAUGUAAAUGAUUACUUUCAUCCAUCCAUUAUAACAAACCUGACCACAGUGGAAGAUGUCUUAAACUUCCUUCCCUGGUUUUAUAUUAACCCAACUGAUAGAUUAAGUAUUAGUCAAACCACCAAAAAAGAAAAAGAAAAAAA
ensembl:lncRNA